rnacentral:rRNA from 1 species
UACAGAGGUCUCAAGCGUUGUUCGGAAUCACUGGGCGUAAAGGGUGCGUAGGCGGCACGGUAAGUCAGAGGUGAAAUCCCGGAGCUCAACUUCGGAAUUGCCUCCGAUACUGCCGUGCUUGAGGACUGGAGAGGAGAUUGGAAUUCACAGUGGAGCAGUGGAAAUGCGUAGAUAUUGUGAGGAACACUAGUGGCGAAGGCGAAUCUCUGGACAGUUCCUGACGCUGAGGCACGAAGGCCAGGGGAGCAAACGGG